rnacentral:rRNA from 1 species
GACGAACGCUGGCGGCGUGCUUAACACAUGCAAGUCGAACGGAAAGGCCCUGCUUUUGUGGGGUGCUCGAGUGGCGAACGGGUGAGUAACACGUGAGUAACCUGCCCUUGACUUUGGGAUAACUUCAGGAAACUGGGGCUAAUACCGGAUAGGAGCUCCUGCUGCAUGGUGGGGGUUGGAAAGUUUCGGCGGUUGGGGAUGGACUCGCGGCUUAUCAGCUUGUUGGUGGGGUAGUGGCUUACCAAGGCUUUGACGGGUAGCCGGCCUGAGAGUGUGACCGGCCACAUUGGGACUGAGAUACGGCCCAGACUCCUACGUGAGGCAGCAGUGGGGAAUAUUGCACAAUGGGCGGAAGCCUGAUGCAGCAACUCCGCGUGCGGGAUGACGGCCUUCGGGUUGUAAACCGCUUUCGCCUGUGACGAAGCGUGAGUGACGGUAAUGGGUAAAGAAGCACCGGCUAACUACGUG